rnacentral:rRNA from 1 species
GACGAACGCUGGCGGCGUGCUUAACACAUGCAAGUCGAACUGUGAAGCGAGUGCUUGCACUCGUGGAUCAGUGGCGAACGGGUGAGUAACACGUGAGUAACCUGCCCAUCACUCUGGGAUAAGCACUGGAAACGGUGUCUAAUACUGGAUACGACCAACCCUUGCAUGGGGUGUUGGUGGAAAGAUUUAUCGGUGAUGGAUGGACUCGCGGCCUAUCAGCUUGUUGGCGGGGUAAUGGCCCACCAAGGCGACGACGGGUAGCCGGCCUGAGAGGGUGACCGGCCACACUGGGACUGAGACACGGCCCAGACUCCUACGGGAGGCAGCAGUGGGGAAUAUUGCACAAUGGGCGAAAGCCUGAUGCAGCGACGCCGCGUGAGGGAUGACGGCCUUCGGGUUGUAAACCUCUUUCAGCAGGGAAGAAGCGAAAGUGACGGUACCUGCAGAAGAAGCACCGGCUAACUACGUG